AAGAUAGCAAUUAAGGGAAGCUUCCAGUCAGUCUAUAGCAAUAGGCUGGUCAUGUUUAGAGCAGUUGAUUUCAAGCAGUCUGUGCAGCCAGGUUUAUCUUAAAACGAAACUAAGCUUAGCUGAAGUAUAUUCCCCCAGGAGAGCUCGAGUGCAAUGCAACUCAAUUUAUAAACAGGACGUCUAGGAUACUGAGCGAUAAAAAUAGCACUACACUAUAGCUUCAGCAGCUGCAAUGGUAGGUAAUCAUAGUGUUAAUAACAUAUUGUAUUACUUUUUUCAAUAGACAGCAGGGCCUCUUAAGUUUUGUACAUUGUGAGAUUUGCGUAGCUGCUUAUUGGUUGUUUGUCCCCUGCCAUCUCUGAUUUGAGAUAGAAGUACAGAUCAUGUACAAAGCGACCUCAGAUAGGGUCAAUUACUUAAACACUUAUACAUAUAUAUAUAAUAUAUAUAUAUAUAAGUACUUAAGAAAUAUAUAUAUAUAUAUAUAUAUAUAUAUAUAUAUAUAUUUAUAUGGGCAUCCUUUAUGAUUUCUCACAACAGUUCACACGGAUUAAGGAUAGGCAAUAUGAAUUUAAUAAAACUUCCACUUAGAUAAGUGCACAGAAAGUAAACAUAUGUGGAUAGUGGAAGCAUUUAGAGAAUGAGUCAGACAAUUGUUAAAAUAGUUUAUGUAAUAUGUGUUUUGUACAUUUUGAGAUGUACAAAAAUCAAAUGAACAGGACGUCGAUGAAAUUAUUUUUGCCGAGCAAUCAAUCUUUUCUACCUGAAAACCUAAAAUUACCAAGCACUUUUUCAAGUUUAAAUAUAGGACAAAAACCUGUGACAGACAAUGUAAGUAGUAAUUUACGAUUACGGGUAAAUACAGAAAUGAUAUCUGGGAACGCUAUCUAAUAACUUGAAACAAUGGAAGCACAUCGUUUUUAAUAUUACAGAAAUACGUGCACAGUUUAGUUAGCUGCGCACCGGAAUCUUUAUAAGUAAAUAUAUAGAAUAUGUGCAGUAAAUUAGUUUUUAUGGUAAAAUAAUAACUAGUACAAUUAAUCAUGAAAAAUAUAUGUGCUAACAAUAAUAUUAAGAGUUAAUUUUUGUAAUAAGAAAUUCCUCUUUUCCAUCGGCUAUAGAGGUAGAUAGAUUGGGCCAUUAGUCUCAAGAUGCUUUCUUUAUGUACUCGCUGCACAGUUUCUUAAGACACUUGAAAUGCACCUUCACGAUGUGUUAAAAAUUACGCUAUUGUGCAGAAGCGCCAUUAUCUCAUUUCCUGUGCUGCUGUUUUUCUAUAUAUAUAUAUAUAUAUAUAUAUAUAUAUAUAUAUAUAGUGUUAUGGAAGAUAUCGUCUUUUUCUUUGAUUACCUAUUUAUGGGCAUCGUUUUUAUAUGACCUUCAAAUUCAACUGCCUCCGUAGACAGGUGGGUCUUCUUUUUAAAUGGCAUGUAAACGUAUCCUCAAAAUUUCCCGAUUUCCAGAGCUAUCCAAAAGCAUAUUUUCUGUCUGCUUUAGUCUCGUCUAAAUGAAAUAAGUAGGCAUGGAUUGCAUCUUCUAUCUUUCUAGCAUUAAAACUACCCCUUUUCCAUCGUUAAAAUCUCAAUUUUCUAACUUCAUCUUAUAUUAUAUUACAGCUUGCACACAUACACAUAGAAUUCAUAAUGUGAUCUUGGGUAGCGAACUUUUUUCUUGUCCCUUUUCGCUCCCACAGCCUAGUCCUUUUUCUUUUCUAUUCUCACACAUACGAACUAAUUAAUGAACACUAAGCGCCAGCUGGACACCAAUCCAAUCGAUGAUAACAACUCGUCCUGUUCUCAAUUGCAACAAUGUACAUCCGAGCAUAUACAAAAGCGGGCGAAGAAACGGGUGUCUGAUGCUUUGACGUUUCACAUCAACAGCGUUAAUCUCUCUCUCAAGCUAACUGAGACUAUCGUUAUAAUCAUUCGGUGUCACAUCCCGAAACUCCGGGAAAAAUCAGUAACAAACCUAAUU
rnacentral:lncRNA from 1 species